CAGUCGCCGCGGUAAUACGUAGGUCCCGAGCGUUGUCCGGAUUUAUUGGGCGUAAAGCGAGCGCAGGCGGAUCAGUCAGUCUGUCUUAAAAGUUCGGGGCUUAACCCCGUGAUGGGAUGGAAACUGCUGAUCUAGAGUAUCGGAGAGGAAAGUGGAAUUCCUAGUGUAGCGGUGAAAUGCGUAGAUAUUAGGAAGAACACCAGUGGCGAAGGCGACUUUCUGGACGAAAACUGACGCUGAGGCGCGAAAGCCAGGGGAGCGAACGGGAUUAGAUACCCCCGUAGUCCCUGUCUCUUAUACA
rnacentral:rRNA from 1 species